UACAGGGGAUGCAAGUGUUAUCCGGAAUUAUUGGGCGUAAAGCGUCUGUAGGUGGAUUUAUAAGUCUUUUGUUAAAUAUAUAAGCUUAACUUAUAACAUUCAAAAGAAACUAUUUAUCUAGAGUUUGAUAGAGGUAAAGGGAAUUUCCAGAGGAGUGGUGAAAUGCGUAGAUAUUGGAAAGAACACCGAAAGCGAAAGCACUUUACUAGGUCAAUACUGACACUGAGAGACGAAAGCUAGGGGAGCAAACGGG
rnacentral:rRNA from 1 species